rnacentral:lncRNA from 1 species
AAUUUUUAAAUUAUAUAUUUAUUUGUUUUAUUAUAAUUUUUUUUCAAAAACUUCUGACUAAAUUUUAAAGAUAAAACAAAUAAGAAAAAAAAAAAAAUAUACUGUUUUAAACAAGUUGUGAAAGAAAAAUAGAUUGAAAUAAAGAAAUAUCACGACCCGAUCUGAUCGCAACUACCCGAUCUGAUCGCAAUUUUCUGAUAUUACUUUUCGUCUUUUUAUUCAUUUUUUCUAAAUGAUAUUGCGUGGUCAUUUGUUCUAUGAUAUUGUUGCCUGGGCAUAAGUUCAUCUUAUUCAUUUUUUCUAAGUGAUAUUGCAUGGUGAUUUGUUUUAUGAUAUUGUUAUUUGGGCAUAGAUUCAGAAUAAGUUUGUUAGCGUAAGCGUAUAUUUAAAAAUACCAAGAUUUAAUUUAAGGAAUAAAUGAAUUAUUCUAAAUUAGGUGAUUUAAUACAUUUCUUGCGUUAUAAACAAUAUUUUUAGCGUUUUUAAAAAUUCAAUUUAAAGAACCAUCUAGCACCCGCUGGAUUAGGGUUAUCUUAUAUUCGCUGGCAAUUUCAAACACGUUUAUGAAAAACAUAUUUCUUAACUGUAAAUAUAAAAAAACAAAAUGAGAUAAACAACACAACGCAGAGUUGCAAAAUUAAUGAAAAAACGAACUUACGAAUUAAGUUUUCUAGAAGGGCGUGGUGAAUAAGUGAGAACAUUAUGAAAACGUCGUGAUGCUUUCUAAACCAGUUUAAACAGUUUGAUAAAUAUUUUUUCUCAAAAUACCAAUACCUCAUAUUAUUAGUUUCUUACCCAAAUAUUGCGCAACUUUUAUCCAACUAAUACCCACUCUACUUGACAAUACUACUUGCGCAUUAUAAAUAUCUCUCUUUACAUAUUACUGAUAACAAAUUCUUUUACAAAAACAAGAUUAUAUUUUUCUAAAAAUAAUAACUUACUGGAUCAUGUUCUUCUAAAGGCAGAUCAAGAUCGAGUUUAUCGUUUGGAAAUUUAUCUUGUACUUCGCUAACUUUAUACUAAACAUAAAGAAAUUUUAAAAAGACUCUGGUAAAAACAAAUUGCACCGGUAAAAGUAUAAGGUUUACAAACUUUAUAAAAUUAAUAUAUAAUUAUUAUAUCAGUUAGACAAUUAUAAAUAAUCUGUAAAUAACCAUGCUCUCUUAUUCUAUUUAAUUUAGUUAUUACCAUUAUAAACUGUUGGUCAUGUCUAUUUGCUAAACUGUUGUUCAUGUCUGAUUCAACUAAAGUCUAUUCGGCUUGUACUAAAGUUUUAUUAUUACGUUAUUGUGAUCAUAAGAUUGAAGAUAACGUGCAGGGCUGUCCCGAAGACGACUCUGAUAAUGUAAAGAAUACAAAUAAAACAAAUAGUGCAAAUGGUCGACAAUUAUUUGUGUGUAAUUGAAGCUGGAUAGCUCUAUCAGGUAGAGCAUCAAACAAAAUGUCAAAAACUAUUUUUAUCAGGUAGAACAUCAAACAAAAUGUCAAAAACUAUUUCUGUCAGGUAGAGCAUCAAACAAAAUGUCAAAAACUAUUUCUGUAAGGUAGAACAUCAAACAAAAAAAAACUAUUUGAUAUUCCGAAAUUCGAACAACUGCUAUCGUCUUCCACGUUAUUGUUGCAACGUUUAGCCAGGUAAAUAGAUUUAAAUCGUUUCGAACGAGGUUGGUAAACAUGUUUUCUUUUUUAAAAAAAAAAAUAGAUGAGACUACACGUCUGUUUUAUUAGGGAAUGUAUUGCAUUUUACUUACAAAUUUCUAAACAAUGUGAUUUUCUACCGCAAGAGAUAUGAAAAAAUGCACUCUGGAUAAUGGUUGACAAAAUAGAAUUUAUAUGAGCUUUAAAUAAGUAUGAAAAUUAUGUAAUUUGUUCAUUUUCAUUCACUAUUUUAGUGUUGUAAUAUUUUGUGUACGCUUUUGAUUAUCCCUUAAGAAUUAAAAGUAUUUUAGUUUAUUUUUGAAGUACUGUUAACUUGAAUUAUGUUUUUUGUAAAUUAACUUUAACAGGAGAUACUUUUUUUCAGUGUACUGUCUGAUAAAGAGGUUCAUGUAUUGUUUUGAACAUUACCAAAUCAUGAAGCCUAAAAUUUCUGAAAAAAAAUUGGGCUACGUUAUUUGGUAAAGUUCUAACACAAUGAAUUUUGUUUGAAGUUUAUGAAGUUUGAUGAAUUUUUAAAUGAUCUGAAUCAAUAAAUUGUUUUAAAAAACUUUGCAAUCUGAAACACUUUUGCAAAUCAUUCAAUUUAUUAGAUAUUGUUUGAAUACUACAAUAGUCAGCAAUUAUACAUAUUUCGUUGUUUUGCUUUUAUGGACAAAAUGCAGUUUUAUAAUAUCUAUGUGUAUAAAAAAUUUAAUUUUUAUUAUUUUGGUAAAAAUAAAUAUGCUCUUUGGUAUAAAUUUAAAAAAGUUAAUUUUUUUACUUUCGAUUUUAUGAGUUAUUGUAACAUUUAGAGCUUCACGGCGUGACAAAUCGAUGUCACGUUAUGAUGCGCGUAUAUUGAGCGCGUAAAAAUAUAAAAAAAAGUUUUUAUGGUUAUUGCAAUAUUACAACAAAGUUUUUUUAAUUGUUUUUUACUUUUAUUUUCAUAAUGCAAAUACCACAAACUUUUAUUUUCAUAAUGCGAAUACCACAAACUUUUGCAUUAACGCGUAACAUGGAAUUGCUAGAGUAUAGAUUUUUACGCAAACCUCGAGACAAAUUAUUAUUUCUGACAAAAUCUUCCAAUUAUCUACAGAGGGAAACAAUUUUUGCUAUGUACAAGAUAUAAUGUAUUAGCAAUAUCAAACCAUAUGUACAUAGAUCCUUUCAGCCUUAUCACAAACCUUUUAAAAAACGGUCGAGAAAAAUAAACUUUGUUAAAAAAAAAUUUCGCUUUUAAAAUAAUUUUUUUAUUUUUAAAACUUUGAUAUAAAGUAAUUUUUUGGUUUAUAACCGAGUUUUAAUUUUGUUUUGAUCGUUUACGCUUUAAGUUUAGACAAAAAUCUAUAGCUGCAGAAAAAACAACUUCAGCAACAAAGGCUAUCACAAUAACAAAUCACUAUUAUACACUAUUGUAUUAAAGUAUGUUUGCUAUCUCUUAAAAUGUUGAGACUUGAAAAAACUUGGAAAUCCUUCAUUAAAGGUUUUAAUCUUAAUAAAGAGCAAUUUGUAAUUUUUCGUACUCAAAGAGGAUCCUCUGAAAUUUUUUGCAGGUCUAAACUAAUUCUUUUUAAGAAUAAAAAUUUGCAGAAACAAAUAAAGAUCUAUUUAGAGCUUUUGAUUUUUUAAAAGUUAUUCCUAUAAGACUAAAUUUUUUGCGUUUUGACUUAUUUGUCAACUAUUUGGUUUUCAUACCAUUUAUAUUUUGAUGCAAUAAAGUUGAAAAACAGCUGAAACUUUUUUUAAGCUGAAUAAAAAAAUUUUUACUGUUAAUUACCUCCUUAAAACCUAGAAGGCUACUAAAUUAAUUGCUGCUCAUCCAGCAAUCAAGACCUGCUUUAAAACUGUUAACUGAUUGUGCAUAAACCAACUUGCUUGGCAAGCUAUUCCAUAAAUUGGCCGAUCUAUUAAAUAAAAAGUUUUCACGACAUGCUUGCUUAGUGAUUUAUUUGACAUAUUUAAAGCUGUGACCUCUCGUUUGAGUUCCCAGUAACCACAGAUCGUUUUUAAAACGUUUAAUAAACGUUCAUAUUCGUUUUUUUAAGUUUUUUAAACGUUUUAAAAACGUCCUGUCCUUACUGGGUUUGUUGAAUUCUAAUUUUUUUGAUUGUUUCUAAAUUGUUAAAACCGUUGAAGAAUUUAAAAAGUUGAAUCUCCCCGUUGUCUCCUCAAGGUCAAGUUUAGACGAUUCUCAUGACUAAUUUUUUUAAGUAAUGUGAUUAAAUCACCCCUUUAUAUUAAUUUUCAUUAUAUAAAGGGGCGAUUUCUUGCUAUUCCGACCAAAGUGCAUGAUCGUACAUUUCGAAAUAUUAAAUUUCACAAGCCAGUCUAGAGUCCACUAAAAAGCUAAAUCAAGAUCUGGUUGCAAAGAAAGAGUUGAUGCACUGGAAAGCAUUUCAUUCAAAAUUUUUGUGUCAUCUGCAUACAGCUUGGUUGGAUUUUUAUAGUUUCAGGCACAUCGUUUAUAAAUAGUACAAACAAUAGUGGUCGAAUUACUGACCCUUGUGGCACACCACUGGUAAUUUCUGCCCAAGAGGAUACAUUUUCGCCUAUCCCAACUCUUUUUUCUUUUAAAAAUGCUUUAAUCCAUUGAAUUGUCAGACGAGAUAUUCCAUAAGCUGUAAGUUUAAGCAACAAUCUUUAAUGGGGAACUGUUGAAAAUGCCCUAACGAAAUUAAAAAAAAAUAACAUCAACAAGUUUACCAUUCUCUAAGCCAGUUGAAACAAAAUCAAGUGUUUCAAGUAGAUUCGUUAAGCAUGAUUUAUUUUUAACAAAACCGUGCUGUUGCUUGACUAUUAGUUUGAACUUAUGUAGAAAAGUUUCAAGUUUACAUCUAAUUAUACCUUCCAUUAUUUUACAUGCAAUUGAGGUGAGUAAUACCGGUCGGUAGUUUGCUGUUAAGGUUUUUUUGCUUUUUUUUACAGAGGAGUGAAAAAAUCUUCAUUUGUCAUAAUGAAUGUUUCAAUAGUUCUUAAAUCAAAAGAAAGCAGUAGACCAUUAUCUUUUUUCACAAAUGAAACUUGAAAAUUUUUGUUUAAGAUAUCAGCAAUAUCUUUUGAAUUUUGAGUGGUUUUACCAUUUGCUCCCUGUAAUACUUUUAUAGUAUCUUUGACUGCUUGUUGAUUGUUCAUGUAGCUGUAGAGAAGCUUUGGAUUCUUGAUGGCUCUUUUUACCAGAUUAAGCUCAAAGUUUUGUCUCACUUUUUUAAUCUCUUCUGCUACAUUUUUGCAAAUCAUUUUGUAUUUAGAUUUCAAAACAGGAUCUUUCCAUUUACAUGAGCAGUUUUUAUAUCUUAAAUUUUGUUUGCUUCUAAUAAGAAACUUUAACCUAACGUUAACCCAGGCUGGUUUAAUUUUUAAAGAGUUUGUCUUUUUAAUUAGAGUGAAAUGAUUACAUGCUACCUCAGUAUAAAAAAUCAGUUCAUCAAACAUUUCUUCUACAUUUUUGCUACUAAAACAUUGUAUCCAGCCAACAUUUGAAAUUAGAUCAGAUAUUAAUUCAAAAUUAGAAUAAGCAAACAUGAAUUUUUGCUUACUUUUAUUGUCACAAAUUGUUUUAUCAGACAAGAUGAAACUGAAACAUAUUAUUAGAUAGCCUCUGGUUAUGAUUCCCAAAACAAAUUUUGAACCUAUUUCAUUAACACUUGCUGACUGAUUUGUAAAGAUUAAAUCUAAGGUGAUUCAUCUGAAAGGUGGAAAGUUGGUAUGUUAAUAUGCUGAUAAAGAAAAUUAUCAUUUAAAAUAUCUGUAAACUUAUUUUUAAUUCAAUCCUCAUUUAAAAUUGCAUCAACACAGCCAUUUGACAAGUUGAUUAAUGGGAAAUUGAAG